GUGCCAGCAGCCGCGGUAAUACAGAGGUGGCAAGCGUUGUUCGGAAUUACUGGGCGUAAAGGGCGCGUAGGCGGCCUUGUCAGUCAGACGUGAAAUCCCCAGGCUUAACUUGGGAACUGCGUCUGAUACUACAAGGCUGGAGUUCGGGAGAGGGAUGUGGAAUUCCAGGUGUAGCGGUGAAAUGCGUAGAUAUCUGGAGGAACACCGGUGGCGAAGGCGGCAUCCUGGACCGAAACUGACGCUGAUGCGCGAAAGCCAGGGGAGCAAACGGGAUUAGAAACCCGGGUAGUCC
rnacentral:rRNA from 1 species